CGCCGCCGUUAAAAAAAAAACCGCUCGCACGACCUCUCGCUCUUGACCUGUCGCCCCUCGUCCUUCUCCUGCGCCGUUCGCCGCCUCGCCCCGCGCCCUUCGCCGCAGGUCGCUGCCGGAGCCGCCCUGCCCCGCCCCGCCCCGCGCCUUCGCCGAGACGCCGGAGCCGCCCCGCCCUGCGCCCUUCGCCGAGCCGCCGCAGGUCGCGCCGGAGCCGCCCGCUGUUGGAGCCGCCGCAGGUCGCGUCGGAGCCGCCGCGGGUCGCCAGCGCCCUUCGCCGUAGUUCGCCGUUAGCGUCAGAUCAAUCUCUGUUUUGGGGAUGAUGAAGCACAUUAAGGAAUAAGAGGCAUAUGAGGUUCUGAUGUAGCCGGGUUCGCCGUUACCGCCGAAUUGGGACUGCUCAAUUGGUUCUGGACAAUACAACAAAAGAAAUGUGCAUAUUGUCCACAUCUGCAGGUUGUUAGUUCAUCAAAGGCGGCUACUAAGUAUACAUACCGUGUUCAUCUCGCCUGCCUUCUUAGGAAAAAUCCUAUACUCAAGGUAUCAUCUGAAGGGGCGACAUACCCAAUUCUCGGAUUCCUCAAGCAACAGAUGUAGUGUUGUCAAUCUCUGAAGAUGCGAAUCCGUCUGCUCGUAGACAACGACAGAGGGAUGAUUGGGAUACUAAAAGCCACAAUGUAUCGAGGCUUAGUGGAGUCAGUCACCAGCCUCUCCGUUGUUUGAACAACUGAACAACAACAUCAAGCGGCGCCAAAACAUAUUGCUGAUCUGAGAGACAUCCGAGACAUGAAUGAGGAAAAAAUGAGAAGGUCGGCCAUUGUUGGCUCAAGCUCAGGAGGUGGUCGAAAGCCUGGCUCCACAUGGUCCUAGCACUACUGUCACACAUGGUGUUCGGGCCACUUCCACCAGUGCUCUGCGGGUUGUCGUUCCGCGAGAGCAAUGACGGGGAGAACAAGAUGAUGCGGUGCUUUGCUCGCCUGCAUUGCGCUGCUUGCGCUCGGGACGUGCAUGUCUACAGAAGAGCCAUGACAUACUUCAAGACUCUAAUUUACUACCUGACCAUCGCCGCGAGCUUGUCCGGGAUAUCGUACGUUGCCGAUGUGCUGAUCACGAGGCUUCUCAAACACUUUGGCACCAUCGAUCUAGGUGGUGCAUUGGCUCCUCAUGCUUCUCUAGGCCUGUUAUUCUCUCAUUUAGGUCAUGCACAUACGUCUGCCUAGGCCUCACUCUGAAUGCUUAAGAGGCUGUUUGGUUUGUGACUAACUUUGCCAAAGAUUGCCACACCUAAGGUUAGGCAAGUUUGGCCAACUUAGGUGAGUGUUUGGUUCAAGCCACACCUUAGGCAAGCCACACUUGUGCCCCACAUGGCAUACACACAAAAAGUGUGGCAAGAUUCCCUUAGGCUUGCCAACUUGUGGCUCUCAUUUUGAUGAAUUAACCUUAGGCAAGUUUGGCAAGAAUGUGUGGCAAAGUAUGGCAAUGCUAGUCCUAUAACCAAACAGCCCCUAAGUUCCUCGGAGCACUGAUUGUAUAAAAAGAGAAGACAUGUGUGAAUUCAAGAGAAAGUGCACGAAGAAACAUCUGAAUCUUUUUGAGUUGCUACAUGUUGUUUUGUUGAAAUUCUGGUGUACAUACUAUCAUCAAAAUGUGUGAUCUUGGUCAGUCAAGUUCAUCUGUAUCGUGGAAUAUUACUAUCAGUGGCGGAGCCAGGAUUCGAGUAUAGGAGGGGCC
rnacentral:rRNA from 1 species